GGGUUGUGAGGUUAAGCGACUAAGCGUACACGGUGGAUGCCCUGGCAGUCAGAGGCGAUGAAGGACGUGCUAAUCUGCGAUAAGCGUCGGUAAGGUGAUAUGAACCGUUAUAACCGGCGAUUUCCGAAUGGGGAAACCCAGUGUGUUUCGACACACUAUCAUUAACUGAAUCCAUAGGUUAAUGAGGCGAACCGGGGGAACUGAAACAUCUAAGUACCCCGAGGAAAAGAAAUCAACCGAGAUUCCCCCAGUAGCGGCGAGCGAACGGGGAGCAGCCCAGAGCCUGAAUCAGUGUGUGUGUUAGUGGAAGCGUCUGGAAAGGCGCGCGAUACAGGGUGACAGCCCCGUACACAAAAAUGCACAUGCUGUGAGCUCGAUGAGUAGGGCGGGACACGUGGUAUCCUGUCUGAAUAUGGGGGGACCAUCCUCCAAGGCUAAAUACUCCUGACUGACCGAUAGUGAACCAGUACCGUGAGGGAAAGGCGAAAAGAACCCCGGCGAGGGGAGUGAAAAAGAACCUGAAACCGUGUACGUACAAGCAGUGGGAGCACGCUUAGGCGUGUGACUGCGUACCUUUUGUAUAAUGGGUCAGCGACUUAUAUUCUGUAGCAAGGUUAACCGAAUAGGGGAGCCGAAGGGAAACCGAGUCUUAACUGGGCGUUAAGUUGCAGGGUAUAGACCCGAAACCCGGUGAUCUAGCCAUGGGCAGGUUGAAGGUUGGGUAACACUAACUGGAGGACCGAACCGACUAAUGUUGAAAAAUUAGCGGAUGACUUGUGGCUAGGGGUGAAAGGCCAAUCAAACCGGGAGAUAGCUGGUUCUCCCCGAAAGCUAUUUAGGUAGCGCCUCGUGAAUUCAUCUCCGGGGGUAGAGCACUGUUUCGGCAAGGGGGUCAUCCCGACUUACCAACCCGAUGCAAACUGCGAAUACCGGAGAAUGUUAUCACGGGAGACACACGGCGGGUGCUAACGUCCGUCGUGAAGAGGGAAACAACCCAGACCGCCAGCUAAGGUCCCAAAGUCAUGGUUAAGUGGGAAACGAUGUGGGAAGGCCCAGACAGCCAGGAUGUUGGCUUAGAAGCAGCCAUCAUUUAAAGAAAGCGUAAUAGCUCACUGGUCGAGUCGGCCUGCGCGGAAGAUGUAACGGGGCUAAACCAUGCACCGAAGCUGCGGCAGCGACGCUGAUGCGUUGUUGGGUAGGGGAGCGUUCUGUAAGCCUGCGAAGGUGUGCUGUGAGGCAUGCUGGAGGUAUCAGAAGUGCGAAUGCUGACAUAAGUAACGAUAAAGCGGGUGAAAAGCCCGCUCGCCGGAAGACCAAGGGUUCCUGUCCAACGUUAAUCGGGGCAGGGUGAGUCGACCCCUAAGGCGAGGCCGAAAGGCGUAGUCGAUGGGAAACAGGUUAAUAUUCCUGUACUUGGUGUUACUGCGAAGGGGGGACGGAGAAGGCUAUGUUGGCCGGGCGACGGUUGUCCCGGUUUAAGCGUGUAGGCUGGUUUUCCAGGCAAAUCCGGAAAAUCAAGGCUGAGGCGUGAUGACGAGGCACUACGGUGCUGAAGCAACAAAUGCCCUGCUUCCAGGAAAAGCCUCUAAGCAUCAGGUAACAUCAAAUCGUACCCCAAACCGACACAGGUGGUCAGGUAGAGAAUACCAAGGCGCUUGAGAGAACUCGGGUGAAGGAACUAGGCAAAAUGGUGCCGUAACUUCGGGAGAAGGCACGCUGAUAUGUAGGUGAAGUCCCUUGCGGAUGGAGCUGAAAUCAGUCGAAGAUACCAGCUGGCUGCAACUGUUUAUUAAAAACACAGCACUGUGCAAACACGAAAGUGGACGUAUACGGUGUGACGCCUGCCCGGUGCCGGAAGGUUAAUUGAUGGGGUCAGCGCAAGCGAAGCUCUUGAUCGAAGCCCCGGUAAACGGCGGCCGUAACUAUAACGGUCCUAAGGUAGCGAAAUUCCUUGUCGGGUAAGUUCCGACCUGCACGAAUGGCGUAAUGAUGGCCAGGCUGUCUCCACCCGAGACUCAGUGAAAUUGAACUCGCUGUGAAGAUGCAGUGUACCCGCGGCAAGACGGAAAGACCCCGUGAACCUUUACUAUAGCUUGACACUGAACAUUGAGCCUUGAUGUGUAGGAUAGGUGGGAGGCUUUGAAGUGUGGACGCCAGUCUGCAUGGAGCCGACCUUGAAAUACCACCCUUUAAUGUUUGAUGUUCUAACGUUGACCCGUAAUCCGGGUUGCGGACAGUGUCUGGUGGGUAGUUUGACUGGGGCGGUCUCCUCCUAAAGAGUAACGGAGGAGCACGAAGGUUGGCUAAUCCUGGUCGGACAUCAGGAGGUUAGUGCAAUGGCAUAAGCCAGCUUGACUGCGAGCGUGACGGCGCGAGCAGGUGCGAAAGCAGGUCAUAGUGAUCCGGUGGUUCUGAAUGGAAGGGCCAUCGCUCAACGGAUAAAAGGUACUCCGGGGAUAACAGGCUGAUACCGCCCAAGAGUUCAUAUCGACGGCGGUGUUUGGCACCUCGAUGUCGGCUCAUCACAUCCUGGGGCUGAAGUAGGUCCCAAGGGUAUGGCUGUUCGCCAUUUAAAGUGGUACGCGAGCUGGGUUUAGAACGUCGUGAGACAGUUCGGUCCCUAUCUGCCGUGGGCGCUGGAGAACUGAGGGGGGCUGCUCCUAGUACGAGAGGACCGGAGUGGACGCAUCACUGGUGUUCGGGUUGUCAUGCCAAUGGCACUGCCCGGUAGCUAAAUGCGGAAGAGAUAAGUGCUGAAAGCAUCUAAGCACGAAACUUGCCCCGAGAUGAGUUCUCCCUGACUCCUUGAGAGUCCUGAAGGAACGUUGAAGACGACGACGUUGAUAGGCCGGGUGUGUAAGCGCAGCGAUGCGUUGAGCUAACCGGUACUAAUGAACCGUGAGGCUUAACCUUACAACGCCGAAGGUGUUU
rnacentral:rRNA from 1 species